rnacentral:rRNA from 1 species
AGGACGAACGCUGGCGGCGUGCUUAACACAUGUAAGUCGAGCGGAAAGGCCCUUCGGGGUACUCGAGCGGCGAACGGGUGAGUAACACGUGAGUAACCUGCCCCUAGCUCUGGGAUAGCUCCGGGAAACCGGGAUUAAUACCAGAUACGACCACUUUAGACAUCUGUCGUGGUGGAAAGGAUUCCGGCUAGAGAUGGGCUCGCGGCCUAUCAGCUUGUUGGUGGGGUAACGGCCUACCAAGGCGACGACGGGUA